CGCACUUCUGUAGGCAAUGGUCUUAUUUAAUAAAUUUUUCCCUGCUUUCACUUUUAGAGCUAUAUUUACACAGACAAAUUUAAUUCAUUGGGUUUCCCUGUGUUUGUCCACCAGGCACACAUGGGAAGGACUGUAAACAGGUAUGUCAGUGUUCAGCUGAGAAUGAAGAGUGUCACCCAGUCACGGGGAGAUGUACCUGUCUGCCCAGCUACCGUGGAAACCGCUGUCAUCUCCGAUGCCCAAAAGGCACUUAAGGUCUAAAUUGCCAAAGGAUGUGCAAAUGCCUUAAUGGCGGCAGCUUUGACACCUAGACUGGCACCUGUUACUGCCCUCCUGGCUUCACUGGCGCUGACUCCCGUCGAAUUUGUCCUGAGGAUCACUAUGGGCAGGACUGUGACCAACGGUGUCCCUGUGGCUCAGGACAGCAUGACCCAGUGACUGGCGGGUGCCAGUGUCCACCUAGCCAGAUGGGAGCCAGGUGUCAGCAAGUGUAGGAUGUCCCCAAACAAUGUAUGGCCCAAAUUGUGAGCUAAAAUGUACCUGUAAAAAUGGUGGACUUUGCAGUCCUGUAGAUGGAAGAAGUACCUGUGGUCUUGGAUAGACAGGAAAUUACCGUGAAAAAGGUAAGUUGAUUAUCACAUUCUUUUAUUCAAUAAAAUUCUGGGGCAUACUUCCA
rnacentral:lncRNA from 1 species